UGGACGGUACAACGAGUCGCAAGCUCGCGAGAGUAAGCUAAUCUCUUAAAGCCGUUCUCAGUUCGGACUGUAGGCUGCAACUCGCCUACACGAAGUCGGAAUCGCUAGUAAUCGCGGAUCAGCAUGCCGCGGUGAAUACGUUCCCGGGCCUUGUACACACCGCCCGUCAAGCCAUGGGAGCCGGGGGCGCCUGAAGUCCGGGACCGCGAGGACCGGCCUAGGGCGAAACUGGUGACUGGGGCUAAGUCGUAACAAGGUAAC
rnacentral:rRNA from 1 species